GGCAAAAGCUAGUUAAAGAGAAAUGGGAUAAUUUAAAUUAGGAAAGCUGGCUAAAAAGAAGCAAGCUAAGGCUGGGCAUUCAUAAGUAAGAACAAAUCUCCAUGCAUUUUUUCAGGAGCUGGGUAGCAGGCCCCCAAAGACUAAAAAACAAACAAAAAGAACACCACCUACAAUACUCAGUCUAUAAAUGUGGUGACCCAACAGGGAAAGGGGGGGACGUAAAGGGCACAGAGAUGGAUGCCAUGAUGCCAUGAAGAACAGUAAAUCAGGGAGGGGGUAUGAGUGGGGGCAGGGCUUCAGACAGAGUGCAGGUAAAGACCUGAGCAGAGAGGCAGUCAGGACCAGAGAUCUAACCAGGGCCUCUCUCGGGCUCAGAAGGUGAGUUCUACCACUGACCCACACUCCCAGCAUCCACCGGAACAUUGGAGACGAGGAAACAAGUUAUGUCGGGGAAGGGACCAUCAGCAUCAGCAGAACAGCCGACCUCAAAGUCCUCAGCCAAUAGCGUGUUCCCCUAAAGGAAAAGCAAUGUUCACAAGGCUAACCUGGAGUUGGAGGGAAGGAAGUUAGGCCGAUGAGAAGGGAAGAUCCUAUGGGACCCCUCAGGCAGUAAGAUGACAGUGCCAGAUUCUAAGGGUGCUUCUAACAGACCCUAAUUUACAUUCUGACAGGAUUCCCCUCUUCGCUUCUUGGAUGUUUGCCACUUUCCCUGUUCUCUUCUCCCCCGUCUCAAGCCCUCUGCUUACUCGUGAUUCCCUUGCAAGCAUCAGCUGGCACGUGGCUUUUGGUUUGGUGGUGCAGCAAGGGUUGACAUUUCGGCUCAUGCGCCUGCUGUGAUCUAAUCGGUUAGCCAUCCAGUGUUCUCAUUCCAGGUUCCUGGGUGACAUGAUGUUAGCCCCACAUGUGAGCAGGCUGAGUCAUAGUAGUCCACUGCGGUAUCAUCAACUGAGGUCAGACUCAGAAGAAAGUCAAAACCGCAGGCAGCAUUUCCCAGAGUGCGCAUGGGCAGACAGGGAGUAGUACAUCUGCUUCAGCAGAUGCCUCGGCAUCUUCUCCACAAUAUAGGGUAGUCAACACCUCCGGCGGAUACAGGUGACCUGUAGCCCUUCUGCACGGUCAUGCUCAGGGAGCUCCUAAGGGUGAUAAGAAUGGGACAGACAGACAAAGAAAAAGCAUCAAUCGUCAUUGAUCGGGGAGGAGGCACCUAAAUGCUCAGUCUUCACUGAGGUUUGCAAUCUUGGUUCUGCGACUGAUAGAGAACCCUCUUCCUAAAGCUGCAGGCCUUGGAGUGUCCACCUGUUCUCGAUUCUCUAUGAAGUGAAUUCACUGAUCCAGGUCCACACGGAACGGCUUCAGCACAGAAGACAACAUGUGAUACCUGCAGAAACAAUAAACACGUCAUUGACUUGUUUACACAUUCUCCUGCCACAGCAAUGAGUCAGAAGUCAUGCAGCUUAUUCCGGGGACCUUGACCUCUGUUUUGUAAGAUGGUGUGACCUCAGUUUCCAGAGAGGUCUGGCUCACCGGAAAUUCAAAUUCACCUACGAUUAUCAUAAAAACACCUGGAACGGUUUGUCAGGGAGGCACAGUGUGCUUGCUCCUAGUGUUCCAUGGUUUGCUUUUAUCACCAGAAUCAAAAUACCGUAGAGUCCUCUAUUUAGGAAAAAUGUGGGUUCCACCCUUUGCCCAACCUACUCUUUGAAAAACAAACUGGAAAUAAAAAAACAAGAAGCUAUUUUUAGCAAUUA